AUGCUGCAUAUUCUUAAAAUGUUCUAUAUAAAACACGUACAGACAUCCAGAAUUUCGGACAGAGUUCCAGUGGAAAACAAGACGGGCAAGAUUUUGUUUUCAUCGCGCAGGAGGAGGAGGCAGAUGGAUUACGCGGCUUAGUUAUAAGAGACAAGAUGGCACGUCCCCGUAACAGCCAGACUAACCCUCUGGGCACUGCUUGGCAGCGUAACUCCUCCAGGUGAGGUCCCUGCGCCAGCGGCCCCAGCGGCCGGGAACCUGUCGGAAAUGGGAACGCUCAGGCCCUCCUUACUGAAUCAGAACCCACAACCGGUGCUGUGAGAAGCCGUCCGGGAGAACCAGGCGGGGAAGCCACACUCCCCGGGACCUUGAACUCUAUUCA